GGGGUUGAGGCUCAGUGGUAGAGCACUCGCCUAGCGUGUGUGAGGCCCUGGGUUCAAUCCCCAGCACCACA
rnacentral:tRNA from 1 species